CUUUGAAAUUCCUCGCACUUUUUAUUUCUCCCUCUCUUACUCCGUGUUUCUGGUUAUCCUCGUGUGAUGCCUAUGUUAUCCACUUUCGCUGCUUGGAAAGUUCUGAAAAGGAUGAAUUUUGUUUACAACUGGCAAAGCUUGAUUCAUAUGAUGAAGUUGUUAAGAGAGUAGCAAACCAACUCGGAGUCGAUGAUCCAUACAAACUGCGGCUUACAUUACACAAUAUCUACUCUCAUCGACCAAAAGCUCAUCCUAUAACAUAUCAAGGACUAGAAAACUUGUUAGAGAUGCUGCUGCAUUACGACCAAGUACG